GGCAUAUAUGAUAGGACACCCCUGGGCAGAGGCUUUAAGAGCCACUGUGUGGUUCAGUUACUGUUCUGUCACUUUCUGCCAUGAAACUGAGUUAGGAGCUGCUCCCCAGCCUGGACCCUGGAAUGAGGAAGAUAUUUGGCAUGCAGCCGCAGGGCCAGAGUCAGCCUGUAGCCAGCAAUGCUUUAUAUGGAGGCAAGAUAACUACAUUUGCUACCUACUCGAGGCUUAACCCUUCCUGGGUCUAAUCCAGCCUAGUAAAGACAUUCCUUUACCAGUGGUGCUGGUACUCAUCCAAAGAUUUACUCCGACUGGACCAUCAUAGGUGAGGAAAGUAAGGCCCAGAGAAGUCAAGGAACUUGUCUGACAGCACACAGCGGGAAGACUUGGGCUGGGAUUCAAACCCAGGGAACCAGCCCCUGGAGACCCUGUACUCCAUGUCUUUGCCUUCUGGUCUCACGGUUCCCUCCCUGCAUGGGAUGGGUUUUUUACAGGUGCUCUUCCCUCCACUUCGGCGCACUUUCUGCCCUUCCCCCAGCCUUCCUCACCCCCAGCUUUCCCCUCUUCCUCUGUCCCAGCUGCAAAGCCGCGUGUACGGGAAGCCUCUCAGUGUCUGAAGGCCCAGAGCUCCCGGCGUUGGUCCCCGUCCCCUCAAGCAGGAGAUCCUGCGAGAUGAGGAUGCCGUGUGUCUGUGCCACCCGGGAGGGUAGCCGCCCGCUGCGCUGGUCGUUGGGCCCCAGGCCCGUGUGACCGAAGAACUGAAUCACUCAUUUGGUGCACUCUUCAUUAGGCCACAGGGGAAUUUCACCGCCUCCUGUGGCCUGACUGCCCCUGGGGCACCACUCGGGGUUCGUCUCACCUUGGACUUCUGGCCCCUCGCUCCUGUGGGUUUGGUCUGUCCCUGCCUGGGGCACAGGCCCUGCUCUGCCCGGGACACGCAUGAUGUGGGUCCCUUCCUAAUGUGUCCCUGACCCUGCGGCCGGGGCCCUGUGCCCCAGAGUCUGGCUGAGCUGCCAGCUCCGCAGCCCUUGUGCACCCCCAGAUGGGCGAGUAGAGGACCUGGCGGCCGCCUGGCCUGGAGGGGACCAUGCAGCAGCCUGGGCUUCGGGGCGCAGCUGCCUCUCCCCAGCCUCGGCCUGUGAGCUCCCGGCCCUGGGGCUCUCACUGGCAGGAUGCAAGCCGGAUUCUACCUCAGAGGGUUGUUGUGCCCAACCAAGGAGCUACUGUGAGAAUAAUAAAGAUGAGGGUACCUGGGGGCUCCGUCGGUGAAGCGUCUGCCUUCAGCUCUGGGCAUGACCUGGCGUCCUGGGAUCCAGUCGCGCGUUGGGCGACCUGCUAAGCGGGGCAUCUGCUGCUCCCUCUGCCUCGGCCCUUCUGCCCUCCCGGGCUCUCUCUCUCUCUCUCUCUCUCCUCCGCUUGCUGUCUCUCAUGCUUGCUCGGUCCCAUGCUCUCUCUCUCUCCCACGCUCGC